AGUGGUUCGGGGAAAGUAAUGUAGUCAUGUUUUAUUUAUUUAUUUAUUUAUUUAUUUAUUUAUUUAUUUAUUUUUACUUUUUUUUAAAGUCCUAAUGUUCAAUGUGAAGAAAGCAAUUGCUUACCACAAACCUUGAUCCAACUACCCAGGAGUUUGACAUACUACAUAUGAAAGGAGAACUAAGAUGCACGGGAGAUGAGCAGAUGAUAGUGCUUUGGCUUCCUGCCAGAGUCUUCUAAUGAAAAUGAACGCUUUCUGCAUCUGGGUCCACGGCAUUUGUUUGGAAGAGAGAAGUUUGGAAGGCUAGGAAUCAGCCACAUCUCCCUUCAUUUCCUCCAGUUCUUUCCCUUCAUGGCCACGUUAAUGAAGUCUCUCUACAGCUACCUCGUCAAACUAGUGCAUAAUGACUUCCUCUGCACAGGGAUGUGAGUGACUAAAAAGACUUAAAGUUGUCAUUCACAUUUUUCAGCAUGGUAAAACACAGUUUAGAACAUUCAAAUAAACAAAA
rnacentral:lncRNA from 1 species